rnacentral:rRNA from 1 species
GGAUGAACGCUAGCUACAGGCUUAACACAUGCAAGUCGAGGGGCAGCAUGGUCUUAGCUUGCUAAGGCCGAUGGCGACCGGCGCACGGGUGAGUAACACGUAUCCAACCUGCCGUCUACUCUUGGACAGCCUUCUGAAAGGAAGAUUAAUACAAGAUGGCAUCAUGAGUCCACAUGUUCACAUGAUUAAAGGUAUUCCGGUAGACGAUGGGGAUGCGUUCCAUUAGAUAGUAGGCGGGGUAACGGCCCACCUAGUCUUCGAUGGAUAGGGGUUCUGAGAGGAAGGUCCCCCACAUUGGAACUGAGACACGGUCCAAACUCCUACGGGAGGCAGCAGUGAGGAAUAUUGGUCAAUGGGCGAGAGCCUGAACCAGCCAAGUAGCGUGAAGGAUGACUGCCCUAUGGGUUGUAAACUUCUUUUAUAAAGGAAUAAAGUCGGGUAUGCAUACCCGUUUGCAUGUACUUUAUGAAUAAGGAUCGGCUAACUCCGUGCCAGCAGCCGCGGUAAUACGGAGGAUCCGAGCGUUAUCCGGAUUUAUUGGGUUUAAAGGGAGCGUAGAUGGAUGUUUAAGUCAGUUGUGAAAGUUUGCGGCUCAACCGUAAAAUUGCAGUUGAUACUGGAUAUCUUGAGUGCAGUUGAGGCAGGCGGAAUUCGUGGUGUAGCGGUGAAAUGCUUAGAUAUCACGAAGAACUCCGAUUGCGAAGGCAGCCUGCUAAGCUGCAACUGACAUUGAGGCUCGAAAGUGUGGGUAUCAAACAGGAUUAGAUACCCUGGUAGUCCACACGGUAAACGAUGAAUACUCGCUGUUUGCGAUAUACAGCAAGCGGCCAAGCGAAAGCGUUAAGUAUUCCACCUGGGGAGUACGCCGGCAACGGUGAAACUCAAAGGAAUUGACGGGGGCCCGCACAAGCGGAGGAACAUGUGGUUUAAUUCGAUGAUACGCGAGGAACCUUACCCGGGCUUAAAUUGCAGAUGAAUUACGGUGAAAGCCGUAAGCCGCAAGGCAUCUGUGAAGGUGCUGCAUGGUUGUCGUCAGCUCGUGCCGUGAGGUGUCGGCUUAAGUGCCAUAACGAGCGCAACCCUUGUUGUCAGUUACUAACAGGUCAUGCUGAGGACUCUGACAAGACUGCCAUCGUAAGAUGUGAGGAAGGUGGGGAUGACGUCAAAUCAGCACGGCCCUUACGUCCGGGGCUACACACGUGUUACAAUGGGGGGUACAGAGGGCCGCUACCACGCGAGUGGAUACCAAUCCCAAAAACCUCUCUCAGUUCGGACUGGAGUCUGCAACCCGACUCCACGAAGCUGGAUUCGCUAGUAAUCGCGCAUCAGCCACGGCGCGGUGAAUACGUUCCCGGGCCUUGUACACACCGCCCGUCAAGCCAUGGGAGCCGGGGGUACCUGAAGUGCGUAACCGCGAGGAGCGCCCUAGGGUAAAACUGG